GUGAAUCAUCGAAUUUUUGAACGCAAAUUGCGCCUUUUUCGGUAGGCAUGUCUGUUUGAGGGCAAUAUUCAAUAAAUAAUGUGCAGCGUUUUUUGUUGCACACGUUGAUGAGCUUUCCCAGAAUUUUAAAUUUUUGGUGGCGCUUAAUGAUCAGCGUGAAAGUUUUUUUCAGUUCGUGUGUAGUAAAAUUUUUUAUUGGGUUGUGAAAAAACAUAAUCGCGCAAUGGGUGUGGCAACUUCUGUUUUCAUCUGU
rnacentral:misc_RNA from 1 species